rnacentral:rRNA from 1 species
ACAUGCAAGUCGAACGAAGUAGCAAUACUUAGUGGCAGACGGGUGAGUAACAUGUAGGUAUCUACCCUUUGGCCUGGAAUAACACGAGGAAACUUGUGCUAAUACUGGAUAAGUCUUUACGGAGAAAGCUUUAUGCACCAUUGGAUGAGCCUGCACUUGAUUAGUUUGUUGGUGGGGUAAUGGCCUACCAAGACUUUGAUCAAUAGCUGAUUUGAGAGGAUGAUCAGCCACAUUGGGACUGAGACACGGCCCAAACUCCUACGGGAGGCAGCAGUGGGGAAUCUUGCACAAUGGAGGAAACUCUGAUGCAGCGAUGCCGCGUGAGUGAAGAAGGCCCUUGGGUUGUAAAGCUCUUUCGUCGGGGAAGAAAAUGACUGUACCCGAAUAAGAAGGUCCGGCUAACUUCGUGCCAGCAGCCGCGGUAAUACGAAGGGACCUAGCGUAGUUCGGAAUUACUGGGCUUAAAGAGUUCGUAGGUGGUUGAAAAAGUUGGUGGUGAAAUCCCAGAGCUUAACUCUGGAACUGCCAUCAAAACUUUUCAGCUAGAGUAUGAUAGAGGAAAGCAGAAUUUCUAGUGUAGAGGUGAAAUUCGUAGAUAUUAGAAAGAAUACCAAUUGCGAAGGCAGCUUUCUGGAUCAUUACUGACACUGAGGAACGAAAGCAUGGGUAGCGAAGAGGAUUAGAUACCCUCGUAGUCCAUGCCGUAAACGAUGUGUGUUAGACGUUGGAA